AUACUGUGAAACUGCGAAUGGCUCAUUAAAUCAGUUAUCGUUUAUUUGAUAGUACCUUACUACUUGGAUAACCGUGGUAAUUCUAGAGCUAAUACAUGCUGAAAACCCCAACUUCGGGAGGGGUGUAUUUAUUAGAUAAAAAACCAACGCCCUUUCGGGGCUUCUUGGUGAUUCAUGAUAACUUAACGGAUCGCAUGGCCUUGCGCCGGCGACGGUUCAUUCAAAUUUCUGCCCUAUCAACUUUCGAUGGUAAGGUAUUGGCUUACCAUGGUUUCAACGGGUAACGGGGAAUUAGGGUUCGAUUCCGGAGAGGGAGCCUGAGAAACGGCUACCACAUCCAAGGAAGGCAGCAGGCGCGCAAAUUAUCCAAUCCCGACACGGGGAGAUAGUGACAAUAAAUACUGAUACAGGGCUCUUUUGGGUCUUGUAAUUGGAAUGAGUACAAUUUAAACCUCUUAACGAGGAACAAUUGGAGGGCAAGUCUGGUGCCAGCAGCCGCGGUAAUUCCAGCUCCAAUAGCGUAUAUUAAAGUUGUUGCAGUUAAAAAGCUCGUAGUUGAAACUUGGGUCUGGCUGGCAGGUCCGCCUCACCGCGUGUACUUGUCCGGCCGGGCCUUCCUUCUGGAGAACCUCAUGCCCUUCACUGGGCGUGUUGGGGACCAGAACUUUUACUUUGAAAAAAUUAGAGUGUUCAAAGCAGGCCUUUGCUCGAAUACGUUAGCAUGGAAUAAUAAAAUAGGACGUGCGGUCCUAUUUUGUUGGUUUCUAGGACCGCCGUAAUGAUUAAUAGGGACAGUCGGGGGCAUCAGUAUUCAAUUGUCAGAGGUGAAAUUCUUGGAUUUAUUGAAGACUAACUACUGCGAAAGCAUUUGCCAAGGAUGUUUUCAUUAAUCAGUGAACGAAAGUUAGGGGAUCGAAGACGAUCAGAUACCGUCGUAGUCUUAACCGUAAACUAUGCCGACUAGGGAUCGGGCGAUGUUCUUUUUCUGACUCGCUCGGCACCUUACGAGAAAUCAAAGUUUUUGGGUCUGGGG
rnacentral:rRNA from 1 species